AUUUGUCAUGCAGCCAGCCCCUAUACAGAUUUCUUACAUGGGAUUUCCUGGAACUACAGGCGCGGACUAUAUACCUUACCUGGUUACUGAUGAGUUUGUGUCACCUUCUCAAUUCAGUCAUAUUUAUUCAGAAAAGAUUGUCCAUCUUCCUCAUUGUUACUUUGUAAAUGAUUACAAGCAG